rnacentral:rRNA from 1 species
AUUGAACGCUGGCGGCAGGCUUAACACAUGCAAGUCGAACGAGCGGCGGACGGGUGAGUAAUGUCUGGGAAACUGCCUGAUGGAGGGGGAUAAGUACUGGAAACGGUAGCUAAUACCGCAUACCAUCAGAUGUGCCCAGGUGGGAUUAGCUAGUAGGUGGGGUAAUGGCUCACCUAGGCGACGAUCCCUAGCUGGUCUGAGAGGAUGACAAUACACACUGGAACUGAGACACGGUCCAGACUCCUACGGGAGGCAGCAGUGGGGAAUAUUGCACAAUGGGCGAAAGCCUGAUGCAGCCAUGCCGCGGGUGUGAAGAAGGCCUUCGGGUUGUAAAGCACUUUAAGUGAGGAGGCGUUACUCGCAGAAGAAGCACCGGCUAACUCCGUGCCAGCAGCCGCGGUAAUUC